UUUAAAGGGACACUCCAGGCACCCAGACCACUUCUGCUAAUUGGAGUGGUCUGGGUGCCAACUCCCACUACUCUUAACCCUGCAACUGUAAUUAUUGCAGUUUCUUAUGCAGGGUUAACUCCACGUCUAGUGGCUGUCCUGAUUCAUGGCAAAGAUUUUCUUUGCUAGAGCGUCGCUGGACGUCAUCACGCUGUGUGAGGACCUCCAGCGUCACUCAAUUCCCCAUAGGAAAGCAUUGAAAAUCUUUUUCAAUGCUUUCCUAUGGGGAGACCUAAUGCGCGUGCGCGGCAUUGCCGCACAUGUGCAUUAGGUUUCCUCAGCUGGUGGGCGGGAUCAGUCUCGCCCACCGGCUGACGUUAUUACUGGGAGGAGUGACGCCAACCUGAAACCACCGCCGAAGGACAUCGGCGGGGUCUCAGGUAAAUGACCGGAAGGGGUUUUCACCCCUUCAGCUACCUGUGAUGGGGGGGAGAGGGUACCUGCAGUGCCAGGAAAGCGGAUUGUUUUCCUGGCACUGGAGUUUCCCUUUAAUGAGAACCCUUCUAAAGGGAGCU